AGCAGCCAGCUUUUUGUUCCACCCUGGCACUAAGACACCUGCUCCAAAGAAUUAACUAAUCAUGGUCCUAGGUCUGGACCUUGGUUAUUUGAAUCAUCUAUGGAGCAGUUGGUUUAAUAGUCUAACAUUGUCUGUCCUGCUUUGCCUUCCUCUUACAGGAAACAGUCCCGCAGAUACAGCGUCUCAACUUGGAUCACUAAAUAUGAUUGGACUGAAGUACAGCAUGUCUCUACCCAUGGCUGCAGGGGCCUUGUUAGUGGGCAUCCCCUACUCCAUCUCUCUCGUAGCCCAGUGGAUGUAUGGCUGGCCUAACAAGCCGGGCUAUAAAAAGUACAUUGAGGCUCUGAAGCCAAGGCGGAUAUACUGUCUGACUAGAGCUGUGCUGGAGAUGCUGAAAUACUUCCAGUAUGGAAAACUCUAUUUCCAGUGGAAGUCCUGGUACAAGAAUGUAGAAAA